rnacentral:lncRNA from 1 species
GAAAAAUAUGGAGAGAGAGAGGUUCAUUCUGGCUGGGGAAACCAAUUAGUAGAUGAGGUAGCAUUUCUACCUAACCUUGAAGAAUGAGCAGCACCUGACCUGGGAAGAUGGAAAGAGAGAGACACCUGUGUAGACAAACAAGGUCCUCAGGUGAAGGUGAUGCUGCUGGCCUAAAGACCACAUUUCAAGAACCACUGCUGUAUUGCACUCUACUGGUUCUCAACCAUGGAUGUUCAUUAAGGUCAUCUGAGGAGCUUCUAAAAAGUACUCAGGCCUGUGCCCUGCCUCAGACCAGUUGACCGGGAGGCCCUGAGGAUGGGAAAUAGGUGGAGGUCGUUUUUCAAAGCUCCCAGGUGAUAACCCAGGUCAGCACUUCUCAUAUUCUCUCGUGCAUAGGAAUUUUGUCAAGAUGCAGGUUCCUUUUUAGUAGGUCUGGGUUGAGGCCUGAGGUUAUGCAUUUCUAAUGAGUUUCCAGCAGAUGUCAAUGCUCCUGGCCAGUAGACCAGCAAGGCUCAAGGAAAUUCAAUAUUCUUCUUCCUUUUUCUUCCCACUUUUCUCUCCAAGUUUCUAUUUAGUGCUUGAUUCAGUCUCUCUGCCCCCAGUGCAAUGUCUCAAUGCAAUGCUGCCCCAACACACCAUCCCUGAACCCCAA